rnacentral:rRNA from 1 species
UUCCGGUUGAUCCCGCCGGACCUGACUGCUAUCGGAUUGAUACUAAGCCAUGUGAGUCUUUGUAGCAAUACAAGGCAGACGGCUCAGUAACACGUAGUCAAUCUAACCUAUGGACGAGGAUAACCUCGGGAAACUGAGAAUAAUACUCGAUAGAACAUUAUGCCUGGAAUGGUUUAUGUUCUAAAUGAUUCGUUCGCCGUAGGAUGGGACUGCGACCUAUCAGUUUGUUGGUGAGGUAAUGGCCCACCAAGACUAUUACAGGUACGGGCUCUGAGAGGAGAAGCCCGGAGAUGGGUACUGAGACACGGACCCAGGCCCUAUGGGGCGCAGCAGGCGAGAAAACUUUGCAAUGUGCGAAAGCACGACAAGGUUAAUCCGAGUGGUUCCUGCUAAAGGAACCUUUUGUCAGUCGUAAAAUCACUAGCGAAUAAGGGGUGGGCAAGUUCUGGUGUCAGCCGCCGCGGUAAAACCAGCACCUCAAGUGGUCAGGAUGAUUAUUGGGCCUAAAGCAUCCGUAGCCGGCUCUGUUAGUUUUCGGUUAAAUCUGUACGCUCAACGUACAGGCUGCCGGGAAUACUGCAGAGCUAGGGAGUGGGAGAGGUAGACGGUACUCGGUAGGAAGGGGUAAAAUCCUUUGAUCUAUUGAUGACCACCUGUGGCGAAGGCGGUCUACCAGAACACGUCCGACGGUGAGGGAUGAAAGCUGGGGGAGCAAACCGGAUUAGAUACCCGGGUAGUCCCAGCUGUAAACUAUGCAAACUCAGUGAUGCAUUGGCUUGUGGCCAAUGCAGUGCUGCAGGGAAGCCGUUAAGUUUGCCGCCUGGGAAGUACGUACGCAAGUAUGAAACUUAAAGGAAUUGGCGGGGGAGCACCACAAGGGGUGAAGCCUGCGGUUCAAUUGGAUUCAACGCCGGA